rnacentral:lncRNA from 1 species
GGAACUAGCUCUUGUAGACCAGGCUGGUUUCAGACUCACAGAGAUCCUCUGCCUCUGCCUCCCGAGUGCUGGGACUAAGGGCAUGCGACAUCAAUGCCCAGCUCCACCUGAUUUUGGAGACAUAGCCUCUUAUGGAACCUCCUAGACUGAGCUAGAUUGAUUGGCCAGCAGGCUCUGAGGGUCCCUUGUCUCUGCCGUCUCAGCACUGGGAAUAUAGUCUGUAUCCCAAGUCUCCAUCCGUAUCAGUUACUUUUCUGUUGCUGUGAUAAAAACCACCGUGACGGCCUUGGCGGGGAAGCAUGGCAGCAAGCAGCAGACAUGGCAUCUAGAGCAGAAGCAGAAAGCUGGUAUCUUGAACACACUGGGACCAGUGCCGGUCUCUGUGCUUUCAAAGCCCACGCCAGUUACACACUUAUUCCAGCAAGGCCCACACCUCCUAAUCUUUAUCCAACAGUACCACCGCUGGAGGAAGUAAAUACUUAUCCAAACCACUGCAUUUCAUUUUGGUCCUUCUCAUCAUUUGGUCUCUGUUUUAGAAUGUCUAUGUCUCCCUUCUCCCUGGGCAUCCCUGUUUCCCUUUUCUCAGUGCCUCUCUUUGUCCUCUGAAAACCCUUCCUCGGCAGCUCACACCCAGUGUAACAGGGCAGCUGUGCUGGGGAGUGUUUUUUUGGCAGAGUCCUGCAGGGUUGUUGCUCCUCACUAAUCCCUUGUCUGAACGGGGAGCCCAACCUAGGUGUUUAAGAUGUGAACUGCUAAGUCUUUAAAUCUUUAGAUGUGCUAAACCCAGAACUUUUGUUACCCUUUAUAACCCCUUGUAAUAAUCCUUAGAGUUUUCUUCCCAUACCAAGAAUAGAGUCUAGGGCCUCUCUCUCUCUCUCUCUCUCUCUCUCUCUCUCUCUCUCUCUCUGACUCAUGGGGGCUAGAGAUAUGGAUCAGUGGUUAAGAGCACUGCUGAGGAGGACAUAGGUUUGGAUUCCAGCAUCCACAUGGUUCUCAUAACUGCCUGUAAUUCAAUUCCAGGAGAUCUGACCCCCUCUUCUGGCCUCUGUAGGCACCAGACAUGGGC